GACGAACGCUGGCGGCGUGCUUAACACAUGCAAGUCGAACGGUAAGGCCCUGCCUUUCUUCUCUGCUCGAGUGGCGAACGGGUGAGUAACACGUGAGUAACCUGCCCUUGACUUUGGGAUAACUUUUGGAAACUGUGGCUAAUACCGGAUAGGAGCUCCUGCUGCAUGGCAUUUGUUGGAAAGUUUCGGCGGUUGGGGAUGGACUCGCGGCUUCUCAGCUUGUUGGUGAGGUUGUGGCUUACCAAGGCUUUGACGGCUAGCCGGCCUGAGAGGGUGACCGGCCACAGUGGGACUGAGGUACGGCCCAGACUCCUACGGGAGGCAGCAGUGGGAAACAUUGCACGAUGGGCGGAAGCAUGAUGCAGCAACGCCGCGUGGGGAAUGACGGCUGUCGGGUUGUAAACCGCUUUAGCCUGUGACGAAGAGUGAGUGACGGUAAUGGGUAAAGAAGCAACGGCUAACUACGUG
rnacentral:rRNA from 1 species